rnacentral:rRNA from 1 species
AUGACACGAGCGCGGGGACUCUCACACGACGACAUCUCCACGGUGCGUAUCUCGGUGGACGGCCGCAGCCGCCUCGGCAUGCCGGCGGAGUAUGCCGGCAACCUAGUCCUCUGGGCGUUCCCGCGCGCCAGGGUGUCCGACCUGCUGGGACAACCGCUGAGUCACGCCGCGCAGCUCAUCCACGACGAGGUGGCUAGGGUGGCGGACCCGGCCUACUUCCGGUCGUUUGUGGACUUUGCCACCUCCGGCGUUGUCGAGCAAGAAGGACUUGCGCCGAGCUCCGAGAUCAACAUGAGGGACGUGCUGUGCCCAGACUUGGAGGUGCACAGCUGGCUCACCUUUCAGUUCUACGACAUGGACUUCGGCACGGGCACCCCAACGUACGUCAUGCCGUCCUACAUCCCGGCGGAAGGGCUUAUCUUCCUUGCGCCGUCCUACAUCGGGGACGGCAGCAUCGACGCCUUCGUGCCUGUCUUCCAGGACAACCUCGAGGCCUUCAAGCAGUGUCUCUACUCCAUCGAUCACCAUGACAAAGAGUAG